rnacentral:RNase_P_RNA from 1 species
GAAGCUGACCAGACAGUCGCCGCUUCGUCGUCGUCCUCCUUCGGGGGAGACGGGCGGAGGGGAGGAAAGUCCGGGCUCCAUAGGGCAGGGUGCCAGGUAACGCCUGGGGGGGAAGCCCACGACCAGUGCAACAGAGAGAAAACCGCCGAUGGCCCACGCACGUGGGAUCAGGUAAGGGUGAAAGGGUGCGGUAAGAGCGCACCGCGCGGCUGGUAACAGUCCGUGGCACGGUAAACUCCACCCGGAGCAAGGCCAAAUAGGGGUUCAUAAGGUACGGCCCGUACUGAACCCGGGUAGGCUGCUUGAGCCAGUGAGCGAUUGCUGGCCUAGAUGAAUGACUGUCCACGACAGAACCCGGCUUAUCGGUCAGUUUCACCU